UGCGUAGGUGGCAUGGUAAGUCAGAUGUGAAAGCCUGGGGCUCAACCUCAGAAUUGCAUCCGAUACUGCUGUGCUAGAGUACUGGAGGGGUGACUAGAAUUCUCGGUGUAGCAGUGAAAUGCGUAGAUAUCGAGAGGAAUACCAAAGGCGUAGGCAGGUCACUGGACAGUUACUGACACUGAGGCACGAAGGCCAGGGGAGCAAACGGGAUUAGAUACCCGCGUA
rnacentral:rRNA from 1 species